UAAUGUCUGGGAAACUGCCUGAUGGAGGGGGAUAACUACUGGAAACGGUAGCUAAUACCGCAUAACGUCGCAAGACCAAAGAGGGGGACCUUCGGGCCUCUUGCCAUCAGAUGUGCCCAGAUGGGAUUAGCUAGUAGGUGGGGUAAUGGCUCACCUAGGCGACGAUCCCUAGCUGGUCUGAGAGGAUGACCAGCCACACUGGAACUGAGACACGGUCCAGACUCCUACGGGAGGCAGCAGUGGGGAAUAUUGCACAAUGGGCGCAAGCCUGAUGCAGCCAUGCCGCGUGUGUGAAGAAGGCCUUCGGGUUGUAAAGCACUUUCAGCGAGGAGGAAGGUGGUGAGCUUAAUACGUUCAUCAAUUGACGUUACUCGCAGAAGAAGCACCGGCUAACUCCGUGCCAGCAGCCGCGGUAAUACGGAGGGUGCAAGCGUUAAUCGGAAUUACUGGGCGUAAAGCGCACGCAGGCGGUUUGUUAAGUCAGAUGUGAAAUCCCCGGGCUCAACCUGGGAACUGCAUUUGAAACUGGCAAGCUAGAGUCUCGUAGAGGGGGGGUA
rnacentral:rRNA from 1 species